CCUACGGGAGGCUGCAGUAGGGAAUAUUCGGCAAUGGACGAAAGUCUGACCGAGCAACGCCGCGUGAGUGAAGAAGGUUUUCGGAUCGUAAAACUCUGUUGUUAGAGAAGAACAAGGGUGAGGGUAACUGUUCACCCCUGGACGGUAUCUAACCAGAAACCCCCGGAUAACUACGUGCCAGCAGCCGCGGUAAUACGACGGGGGCAAGAGUGGACCGGAUCUAUUGGGCGUAAAGCGAGCGCAGGCGGUUUCGUAAGUCAGAUGUGAAAGCCCCCGGCUCAACCGGGGAGGGGCAUUUGAAACUGGAAGACUUGAGUGCAGGAGAGGAGAGUGGAAUUCCAUGUGUAGCGGUGAAAUGCGUAGAUAUAUGGAGGAACACCGGUGGCGAAGGCGGCUCUCUGGCCUGUAACUGACACUGAGGCUCGAAAGCGUGGGGAGCAAACAGGAUUAGAUACCCCUGUAGUC
rnacentral:rRNA from 1 species